rnacentral:lncRNA from 1 species
CACCAGGUUCUUCAAUGUUUUACUGGUUUAUUUGCCUUCUCACAUAGUCAUUGGAGCUUAGCAACAUUGCCCCAUUCACAGUCAUGCAUAGUGCCUGCCCCUGUCCCUUCAUGAUGGCAAGGAUUUUCUUCAAGGACCUUGGUGAGAGCCACAUCUUCACCCUGGGACCCUCUCCUCAACUGAUCAUCCACUCCACACCAGGAAAAGCCUGCCUUGGUUCCAGACCUGAUCACCUUAGUCCUAGUGAGAGGGCAUCUGCUGGAGUUAAAGCCUAAGUCUUACAACUUUUGAACUUAUCUUGCAGAGGAAAUGUCUAUCAUUAGACUAUCAUGAUUAAGUGUGUUUUACAGUGCUUAGAAUUAAUCUAGAACUGUUUGCUGUGAAUUAAUUAAUCUAGAAUUGUUUGGUGUGAAUUGAUUAUGUCUAUUGCGGGGCCUAGCAUUAAGGAUUGUCAUUUUCUUGAUUAAAAACCUAUGAAAUAAAGUUUCAUUGAGUAAUUUGAGUGAAUAAAGC